ensembl:lncRNA
GUGGGUCCCUGGAGAGGGUCCCAGCCCCGGACGCCUGGGUUCCCAGGGAGGGUUUUCCCACCCCGACACCUGGGUCCCAUCCCCGGACGCCUGGGUCCCUCUUAUCUCUAUUACGGGGUUGGGGAGGGGUCCCCUGCCUGGACGUCCCCACCUGGAUGCCUGGAUCGCCCGCAGGAUGUCAUCUCCACCACUGUCCCUGGCGGUGGCCUCGGCCACGGCGGCCUCGGGACGGGUGCUGCAGGCACUGGGGGAGCUGGCGGAGGCGCUGGGAACACCGGGAAUGGUGGCAAAGGCGUUGGCAGAGGCGAAGGUGGUGCUGAGGGAGGCGGAGGUGGUGCUGGAGAGGCUGCAGACGGCGCUGGAGGACGCGAUGGCGGCAGCGGCGGCGAUGACGCCGCCAACACUGGGGCUCAAUGCCGAAGGGCUCUACCGGGCUCUGGGGACGGCCGCCGAUGCCAGCGCUUCCGAGCUAGAGCGGGAACUGUGCCGGAAUCGCCGGCGGCGCUGGGGUCUGUGGGUGGCCCGGACUGUUGCCCUGGUGCUGCUGCUUGUCUGUGCCCCCCUGUUGUCCCUGGACGUGGUGCGGGAGGCGCUGGGGGUGACGCAGGAGAGUCACCUCGUCCCCUGCCUGGCCACCAUCGCCCUUGUCAGCCAGGUGGCCCUGUGGGGCGCGGGGACAUCCAAGCGUCACUUGGCCACCGCCGCCAGCCAGCAGCGUCACCAAGCCCUCCGCUACCGCCGCCUGGCCCGGGACAUCGCCGCUGCCACCGCCGCCACCACCGAGGCCACCGAGGCCACCACCGCUGCCAAUGACACCCUGGGGAUGUUGGAGGAGGUGGCCGGUCACCUGAAGACCCUGGUGGACGCUGUCACCCAGGACCUGGAGAUGGCCAAGGGCUUCCCUGCCAGCGCCCGGGUCCUGGGGGACGUCGUGGUGGCCUUGGGGACAGUGAUGGGGGACAAGGAGGGGACGCAGAGGUUGGCCCGGGCACUGGAGGCUCUGCCAGGGGUUGAGUAGGGAUGGGGAUGGGGACACCGGGAGGGUCCUCCUCAUCCUGGGGACAACCUGAUGUCCCCUGUCCCAUCUGGGGACACCAGGAGGCUCCUCUUCAUCUUGGGGACACCAGGAUGUCCCUUCUCCGUCCUGGGGACACUGGGAUGUCCCCUGUCCCACCUGAGGACAUCAAGGACGUCCCCUUUGUGGUCCAAGGACACCAGGGAUGGGUUGGUGACACCGUCCCCUGUCCCCCCAAUAAACCUCAGGGACACGCCAAGCCCCCGACCUGUUACUGGGGCUUGGGGACAUG